GAGCGUAUAGCUCAAGUGGUACAGGGCAUGUUUAGCAUGCAUGAGGGCCUGGGUUCAAUCCCCAGUAUCUCCU
rfam:Camelus ferus unplaced genomic scaffold scaffold741, whole genome shotgun sequence.